CUCCCCUCCACCGCUCUUUCUCUCUCCCCAAGCAGUGAGGCUCGGACAGUGCUCGGCUCCAGCGCUUUAUUUUAAGAUGAUCGGCCAAGGUCUUUGCAGAUAGAUUUUAUCUGAAGUUAAAUAGCAGGCGCUCGCCGCUCCCUCGCCAAUAAGUCAUUUUUAAUAGAGACAAAUCGCCCUGGACGCCCCGGAGCGCCGGUGCCGCCGCUCCUGCCCGCGCCCCCCGCCGAAGGCGAGCGGGCAGCCCGGGCAGCUCCCUCCUCCCGUAAGUGUCCUGCUCGGCGGAGCCGGAGCGCGGCCGUGUGCGGAGAAGGGGAGGCGAGGGGGGGGAGAGCCUGCCAGCCGCCCCGCCGCCCCGACAGUGCCUGCGCCGGAUGCCCAGCGGCCGCGGGACACCUCGGUGCGGAGCGCGGCGAGGAGAUGCGCAGGGUCGGCGGGCUGCACCGCGGCGCUCAGCCCCUCUAGGCUCGCCCAUGGAGCGCCCCGCGGAGCCCCGGCCGCCGUCGGACCCCCCACGCCGCUGGUGAGAGCUCUGCUGGUUCUGUAAAGUGGAUGUCAGGUGGAUCUAUGUUCUGGAAGGAACAAAGAGGCAGCGAAGGCAGCGCGGGGGAAGUUUGAGCGGCGAGGAUGCAGGCUGUGUACUGGUACGCGGUCCUUCUGCUGCAGCCCACCCUUUACCUGAGAAAAAGUGAACUGUUCAGUGUAGGAAGAGGAAACUUGCUUUCUUGGAUCUACUGAAAAUCUACUGGAAGGAACAAGCCAAUUCUGAAGACUAUUGUUGAGGAGAUAAAUUUCCCAUCACUCUAGUCCAAAACUGUAUUACACAAAGACUCUUUGCAAACUGAAUAUCUUUAUAUGUGUGUUUUUUCACCUGUAAUACCACACUGAGACUUACUAAUUUCUUUUUC